UGAAUAGUAACUCGUGAAUAGUAACUCAUGAAUAGUAACUCGUGAAUAAUAACUCAUGAAUAGUAACUCGUGAAUAGUAACUCAUGAAUAGUAACCCCGACAUGAAAAAGUUCCAAAUUUGAUAAAAAGUUCAACAAAGAUUUUGGCAUAAUGAUAUUGAAGAAAAUAAUAUCAUUUGCGAAAGAAAUAACAUCCCUUACCUCAAAAUAACCGUACUUCUGACUGAAUUUCGGUAUAGUGCUGACAGAAACUCGCACCGUAUAGCAAUACUCAAAGUAUACUUACAAGAAUACGCUCGAUAAUAUAGAGAGAGAAAGAGAAAAAACUUAAUUACUGGUGUGAUUUUCAAUUCUAACUUAGCCCUCUAUUUAUAGGAAAAUGUUAGAACGUCAAAGGAGACUAAAUUAAUAAAAUAUAUUAUUAUUUAUUCAAAAUUCCUACCCACAUGUUUUGAAAACUCUAGCAUGCCUUCUUUGGUCAAAAACAUCAGCCACCCAUGUGCCAACAACCACAAAAACGUUUUUCUUAUAUAAAAUAAUUAAAACUUCCAAAAAUCAAUUAUUUCGGAACUCUGAAACUUCAAUAAUUCAUGAUAAAUAGCCCUUUUGUCAGAAAAUUCGAAUCUCGCUACUUUUUAUAGGAAAUUCAAUUCUCUAAAACUUUGCAGAAGGAAGUUUUUCCAAAUUCCAAAUAGAAAUUAUCCGAAAUCCAUAAAUGAG
rnacentral:lncRNA from 1 species